UAGAGCGGGAAGUCAUUGAUGCCAUGCUUCCAGGAAAAUCUUCUAAGCUUCAGGCUAUUCGAGACCGUACCCCAAACCGACACAGGUGGUCAGGUAGAGAAUACCAAGGCGCUUGAGAGAACUCGGGUAAAGGAACUAGGCAAAAUGGUGCCGUAACUUCGGGAGAAGGCACGCUGGUGGUAAGUGAAAUCCCUGCGGGUGGAGCUGAAGCCAGUCGAAGAUACCAGGCCCCUGCGACUGUUUAUUAAAAACACAGCACUGUGCAAACACGAAAGUGGACGUAUACGGUGUGACGCCUGCCCGGUGCCGGAAGGUUAAUUGAUGGGGUUAGCGCUUGCGCGAAGCUCUUGAUCGAAGCCCCGGUAAACGGCGGCCGUAACUAUAACGGUCCUAAGGUAGCGAAAUUCCUUGUCGGGUAAGUUCCGACCUGCACGAAUGGCGUAACGAUGGGGGCGCUGUCUCUACCCGAGACUCAGUGAAAUUGAAAUCGCCGUGAAGAUGCGGUGUAUCCGCGGCUAGACGGAAAGACCCCGUGAACCUUUACUAUAGCUUCACAGUGAACUUUGAGCAUGUUUGUGUAGGAUAGCUGGGAGGCUUUGAAGUGGGAACGCCAGUUCUCAUGGAGCCAACCUUGAAAUACCAGCCUGACAUGUUUGAGGUUCUAACUUGGUCCCCUUAUCGGGGAUGAGGACACUGUGUGGUGGGUAGUUUGACUGGGGCGGUCUCCUCCCAAAGCGUAACGGAGGAGCACAAAGGUGGGCUAAGCAUGGUCGGACAUCAUGCGGUUAGUGUAAUGGCACAAGCCCGCUUAACUGCGAGACAGACACGUCGAGCAGGUACGAAAGUAGGUCAUAGUGAUCCGGUGGUUCUGUAUGGAAGGGCCAUCGCUCAACGGAUAAAAGGUACUCCGGGGAUAACAGGCUGAUACCGCCCAAGAGUUCACAUCGACGGCGGUGUUUGGCACCUCGAUGUCGGCUCAUCACAUCCUGGGGCUGAAGCCGGUCCCAAGGGUAUGGCUGUUCGCCAUUUAAAGUGGUACGCGAGCUGGGUUUAGAACGUCGUGAGACAGUUCGGUCCCUAUCUGCCGUGGACGUUGGAGAUUUGAGGAAAGCUGCUCCUAGUACGAGAGGACCGGAGUGGACGAACCUCUGGUGUUCGGGUUGUGACGCCAGUCGCAUUGCCCGGUAGCUAUGUUCGGACAGGAUAACCGCUGAAAGCAUCUAAGCGGGAAGCCCCUUCCAAGAUGAGAUCUCCCUGGACCCU
rnacentral:rRNA from 1 species